rnacentral:tRNA from 1 species
GGAUUGUGGCUCAGUGGUAGAGCGCUCACCUAGAAUGCAUGAGGCACUGGGUUCGAUCCUCAGCACCA